rnacentral:rRNA from 1 species
UGGGGAAUAUUGCACAAUGGGCGCAAGCCUGAUGCAGCAACGCCGCGUGAGGGACGACGGCCUUCGGGUUGUAAACCUCUUUUAGUAGGGAAGAAGCGAAAGUGACGGUACCUGCAGAAAAAGCACCGGCUAACUACGUGCCAGCAGCCGCGGUAAUACGUAGGGUGCGAGCGUUGUCCGGAAUUAUUGGGCGUAAAGAGCUCGUAGGCGGUCUGUCGCGUCUGCUGUGAAAACCCGAGGCUCAACCUCGGGCCUGCAGUGGGUACGGGCAGACUAGAGUGCGGUAGGGGAGAAUGGAAUUCCUGGUGUAGCGGUGGAAUGCGCAGAUAUCAGGAGGAACACCGAUGGCGAAGGCAGUUCUCUGGGCCGUAACUGACGCUGAGGAGCGAAAGCGUGGGGAGCGAACAGGAUUAGAUACCCUGGUAGUCCACGCCGUAAACGUUGGGCGCUAGAUGUGGGGACCAUUCCACGGUUUCCGUGUCGCAGCUAACGCAUUAAGCGCCCCGCCUGGGGAGUACGGCCGCAA